rnacentral:tRNA from 1 species
UAUAAAAUGUUGUUUUGCAUAAAGAAUUUUGAAUUCUUAGGUACUAGUUUAUUCUAGUUUUUAUAA